GAGAAGGGAAUUGCUCUGGAGAAGGGAGCAAUCAGGGUAGAACUAUAGCAUAAAUAGACACCAAUUAUGCUGAAGCAAUUUGCAUGGAAAUACUUGCCCGACAUCCAGGGUUGCUGUUGAGGCUCCAUGGGGAAGACAGGGCAGAAUCAGAGGGAAACUUGGUACUCAUAAGUGACUGUCAAAUCCCAUGAGAUGAAGACAUUGUUGAGGAAGAAAGAACAGAUGAAAAAAAACUCCUGAAGAAUUAGAUUCUGAAGAUUUAUUCAGUAUCACAGCAGAGACCAAGAAUUCAGCCACAGAGACUUGCUCUGGGAUGAAGUGUUCUGAAGAUCAAGCUCAUUUGACUUUCCAUUGGAACUAAUUGGAACAGCCACAUCUUCUUAGCUUCCUGGACAUAUUAAGGAACUUGAUCAGGCAGACUGAAGCCCAGACAGUGAUAUAUGGACAAUGGGUUGGGCCGCACUCAUCCUGAUCAUGACUGCUAAGGAAGAAUGCUACAGGAGCCUACUAGCUGCCACAGUGAUUGGUGAGACAAGCUGAUGCUGGGACAAAGAACAAUGCUGACCUGUGAGCUUUCUGAGUGCCCUGAUAAUAGAGACAAGAGGCUGUUUUAGACAUAUGUUCCUGACCCACCUUUGGACAAGCUGCCUUGCUUCAUACCUUUGGACCUUGUGGGACAAAAAACAUGGAGACUGGAAACCACCUUCAGAAACUUAAUCAGAAAGAGAAGUUAUGAUGAGUCUUCUCUUUCCUUUAAUGUGACUGGUUAUUCUGACUCAAUCAUGGACUGUUCUAAUAACCAAUCCAAUAUUGAAAAUAACAGUCUUCAUUUAGAAGGCUGAUUCUGGACAUUUUUAGAGACAUAUUUGAAAGUUAACUACAGUUCUCUAUGAUGCUAUGUUAGCAAUAGAUUGGGACGGGAUAUAACAAAUGUUAAGGUUAGGUUAGCUACUAAAUGUCAUGCUUCAUUUCAAUAUAUUUGUGUCACACUAUCACCUUAUAAUGUGACCAUUGAUUAGGAAAAGACUAAGGCUCAUUUGCAGGCAGUGUGAAAGAAUACAGAUAUUUCACAUAUUAUAGAGCAAUUAAAGGCAGAAAUUUCAGAUAUUAACAAAAGUCAUUUAGACACUUGAAACAUUGAUGAAUUGGUCAGCGAUUUAAAAAAUAAUCUAAGUGCAUUGAAUCCCUGGGAUUGGGUUUGGUAUAUAAUAUUGCUUGCUAUUAUUAUUGGCAUUAUUUUAUUAGUAAUUGUUGUGUUUCCACUCAUCUUUAGAGUGCUUCUAGAUCCGUAGCUAUGACAAGGCUGGACAUUCUGGAACUUCGUCUG
rnacentral:lncRNA from 1 species